UCCUCGUCUUUUACUCUCUCCCUCUCUCUCUCUUAUUUUCAGAGAGUUUUUCUUGCGAAGAAAAAUGCCGGAUAAAACGCGAUUUCUUUCUCAAAAUCAAAAUCCAGAGAUCUCUUUCGAUUUACCGACCAAAUCAAAACCUUGCAUUCAGUAAUCUAAACCCAGAAAUUUCGAUCUAUUCUAUAAAAAUUUGAAGAAAAAAAAUCCUAAACCUAGAAAAUAAUUUUGUUCUUGAAAUCCAAAAUCAGUUCAUCUAAUAGUUGAUUUCUUUGUUGAUUAUCAUCAGGUUUUGUAGAAUACAAUUGUGGUUUUAAGGACUUGAAAAGUCGGGUAUUGACAUAUCGUGCAUGAAACGUGUUCAUCGCAGAGAGAGGUUGGAUCUUUUGUUCACAUGGACCUGAAGUGGUAAGAUUUAUGCAGGCUAUUUAUAUUAGGACUAAGAGAAACCAAGAUUGGGGAGUGGUCAAAACUGAUACAGGGUAAAUGAAGAAUGUAAGUUUGCGGAAAAGCAACCUUGCACAUACUAUUUACAAUGGCCCGAUCAAUUCUUUCCAGUACCCGAUUAUUUCCUUCUUGCUUGUUGGUCCAUGUAAAGUCGGGUCGAGAGAAUGACAUGUCUCUAAGGUCCUAAGCUAUCAUUAAACUUUCAACUAGUAUUUUUGUGUCGUUAUCAGAGAUAGAUCUCCUACCAUGAUGGUAGGGAUAUAUUAAUCAAAGGGGUUGUGUUAAAAACUCUGCCCAAUAGCUAGCUCUCAAAUUUGAUUUUGAUUCACCAUACACAAAAUAAAGGUCGCAUUUGGUGUUA